AUAAAAAUAAAAAUAUCAUAAAAAAUAAAACUUAUUUUUGUACUAAUAUAAUUAUAAAUUGGAUUAUAUAUAAUAUAUAAAAUAUAAUAUUUAAAUAUAAAAUAAAGGCCAAAUGAUUAUUUUGGCACCUGAACUUUCACUCUUUGGUCAGCUGCACAUCUAAACUUACACCUUAACUGAUCAGGUACCUUAACUUUGUAUCUCUGUAAUAUUUAAACAUCUUUGUCCUUUUCAGCAAAUGCGUGCAGACACGCGCAAUGACAUGGAGAAGAACAUUGCCACGUUGAAACCAAUAUCAAAUUGACACUGUUACGUUUCACCCCAAAUCUAAUAUAUUAUUUUCUAUUCCUAAUUACAAAAUCCUAAAGUUACCAAAUCUCUAAAACUAUCACUACUUGUCUAUUUUACUUUUUAUCUAAUUAUGAAAUCUUAAAUUUAAAAGAAAUUGGAGAAGAGAAUCAAUCAAUUCGUUGUCCAGCUUGCUGCUAAUACUGUUAAUAAGGCUACCGACAGUACUUCAAAAGCUACUAAAAAACCCACAAAUGUUGCUUCUCUUGCUAUGUUAUUUAACACAGCAUCCUCACAGAAUACAAAUGUACCACCAACCUAAGCAAGUGCUUCUACUGCUAUGCCAUCCACACAUGUUAUGCCAUCUACACCUGCAUCCAGUAGAUUAGUGCCUAGGAAUGUAUUUACUAAUACAAGAGGAAAAUGCAUCUAUAAAACUAUUGGACUAACAAAUGAGGAAAGUUCACUGGUAUUGCAACCAACUGCUACAAGUGGAAGAAGAGAAAGGGGGAGAGAUGGAGGAAGAAGUAAUGCUGAAGCUACUCCAACGACUUGACCAGCACCAAAGAGACAGAAAGUUUCAAGCUAUGGAGUGUACAUCAAUGAAAGAACAGGUGUUGCAGUAAAAAAUUAUGGGUUACUAACUGCAAAAGUUGUCCACACACUAAACACAAUAUUAAGGUCAUCUACUGUCACAGGAGAUAUUGGCUUCCAACCUUAUGAUUUGAGAUGGAAAGGGAAACAUGCUAUAACUUCCAGGCAACUUCAGUAAGAUGUAGCAACAAGGAGAUUCAGUAAUAAAGCAACUUAAGUAACUAGUGCUAGUUCACAAGCAAGCACAACUACAAAAGCAAGAACAUUACUCUUGCUACUUAGAAUGCAGUGGAACCUACACUUUUUUGUCUUCAACAUAGCAGAAGUGACUUCACUUUUUUUUUCUUGCAGAAUUUUUGCUGCACUUUAUGGCUUAUUUUGUAGUAUUGUUAUGUCGUUGUGUUGCCAAUUAGCUAUGGAAAGUAUUAUUAUGUCAUUUUGUUUAUUUUGUACUAUAAACUGUGGCAAGUUUAUUAUGCUAUAUUGGACUGAACGU